GAUGAACGCUGGCGGCGUGCCUAAUACAUGCAAGUCGAGCGAACGGACGAGAAGCUUGCUUCUAUGAUGUUAGCGGCGGACGGGAGAGUAACACGUGGAUAACCUACCUAUAAGACUGGGAUAACUUCGGGAAACCGUAGCUAAUACCGGAUAAUAUUUUGAACCGCAUGGUUCAAAAGUGAAAGACGGUCUUGCUGUCACUUAUAGAUGGAUCCGCGCUGCAUUAGCUAGUUGGUAAGGUAACGGCUUACCAAGGCAACGAUGCAUAGCCGACCUGAGAGGGUGAUCGGCCACACUGGAACUGAGACACGGUCCAGACUCCUACGGGAGGCAGCAGUAGGGAAUCUUCCGCAAUGGGCGAAAGCCUGACGGAGCAACGCCGCGUGAGUGAUGAAGGUCUUCGGAUCGUAAAACUCUGUUAUUAGGGAAGAACAUAUGUGUAAGUAACUGUGCACAUCUUGACGGUACCUAAUCAGAAAGCCACGGCUAACUACGUG
rnacentral:rRNA from 1 species